GGCUCUGGCCGAGCGGUCGCUUUUUGCAUUUGCCUUUCGGGGAAGGUGCAGGGAGAGGAAAGUCCGGACACUAGGGGACAAUCGGACCAAGUAACUCUUGGGAAAAAAGAGGGAGACUUCUUUUUUACGGAAAGUGCAGCAGAAAAAAUACCGCCUUUUCGAAAGAACAGGUAAGGGUGAAAUGGUAGUGUAAGAGACUACCGCUUGCUUCGUGAGGAUCAAGGCAGGGUAAACCCUCCGAUGUGCAAUCUCAAGUAAACAACCGUUAUGAGCAUGUCCCGCCAGGUUGUGGGUAGAGAGCAUCAGAUAAAUGAUCGCAUAGAACAGAAUCCGGCUUACGGGCCAGAGCCAUUU
rnacentral:RNase_P_RNA from 1 species